rnacentral:rRNA from 1 species
CCUACGGGUGGCUGCAGUGAGGAAUUUUCCGCAAUGGACGCAAGUCUGACGGAGCAACGCCGCGUGCAGGAGGACGCUUUUCGGAGUGUAAACUGCUUUUCUGUGGGACGAGAGAGGACGGUACCACAGGAAGAAGCCCCGGCUAACUACGUGCCAGCAGCCGCGGUAAUACGUAGGGGGCGAGCGUUGUCCGGAGUUACUGGGCGUAAAGGGCAUGCAGGCGGUCGGACGCGUUUCCAGUGACAGCGGGUGGCUUACCUGCCCGAGUAUUGGAAAGACGGUUUGACUUGAGGACUCGAGAGGGACACGGAAUUCCGGGUGGAGUGGUGAAAUGCGUAGAGAUCCGGAGGAACAUCGAAGGCGAAGGCAGUGUCCUGGCGAGUAACUGACGCUGAGGUGCGAAAGCUAGGGGAGCGAACGGGAUUAGAUACCCCAGUAGUC